UACGAGGGGUGCAAGCGUUGCUCGGAAUUAUUGGGCGUAAAGGGUAGGUAGGUGGUCUCAUUUGUCUGGGGUGAAAGCCUUGAGCUUAACUCAAGAAGUGCCCCAGAAACGGUGAGACUAGAGUCCUGGAGAGGGUCGUGGAAUUCCCGGUGUAGCGGUGAAAUGCGUAGAGAUCGGGAGGAACACCGGUGGCGAAGGCGGCCCGCUGGGCUGUUGCUGACGCUGAGGCGCGACAGCGUGGGGAGCAAACAGG
rnacentral:rRNA from 1 species